rnacentral:misc_RNA from 1 species
UAUAUUACAUAGUACACACACAGUCCCUUCAAAAGGGAUGCUUGAGAGCCACGAAAAUGUACUGUUAAAUAGAAACAGAUUUUGGUUUUUUUUUUUUUUUUUUUUACUUCUUUUUUUCUGGUCCUGGGAAAGUCUCUUUAACCUACCUUGGUGAAGCACCAGCAUGCGCCCUGCCCCCUCAGAGCAAUGCUUUGCUGCCAAAGCGCUUAGAGUUUGACAGUGGAAGGAGCUGGGCUCCUUGCUUUCUAUAGGGCUGGGCUCAUCUCUUGAAGCACCGAUUAGCAAUUUCUCUGUGCAAGUCCUGCCUGGUUUCAGGACCGGAAGCAGCUGAUGGAGUCUCAUGGCCUCUAGUCCUUUUGGCCUCUGGUCUCCUUCAGCCUCUAAUUCUGCUGGGGACCACGGAUAAAUCUCUUGGCCUCUCACCCUUAGUUUCCACAUUUAUAACUUGCGCAUGUAAAUCUAGAUUUUUCUCGAAAAACCUAGACACUUCCGACGCAUUCUUUUUCUUCCCAGAAGGGCUCAGAUGAGGAAGGUUUAGGAAGCGACAACCAGGAGGAAGUGUGUAGCAAGGCGUUUAAGAGAAGGGACCAGGUGGAUAGGGCAGCAGAGCUUCCUAGGAAGGACUCCCGCUGCUCUGCUCAAAGAGGUGGCUGGGGAGGGGAUGGCACCACAGGGAGGUGACUCUGGACCCACCUAAGUCAGGUGGUACAUGCUGUAGCCUACAUGGGCGGUGUAGAGUCCCACGGGCGCUACAGGCAGCGCGGCGCGCUGGAAAGGGCCAGAGGCACUGUAGAGUGAGGCGCCCGCAGCUGCAGCCACCGCUGCAGGACCGCCAAGAGGAAAAGAGAGCGAAGGCAGCAGGCGGCAACAUGGGUUUCGCGGCCAUCUUCAGCUUCUCCAGCUCCGCCUCCUGCAGUCUCUUGGCCUUAGCGCGACGGUUCUGGAACCAGAUCUUCACCUGGGUCUCGGUGAGGCUGAGCGAGCUGGAGAAUUCCGCGCGCUCGGCAAUAGACAGGUACUGCUUCUGGCGGAACUUGCGCUCCAGAGCCAGCAGCUGAGCUGUGGUGAAAGGCGUCCUGGGCUUGCGGUUGGUCUUGUGCUUGCGUAGGGUGCAUGCUGGGGGACUCAGCCGUCCUAGGGGGCCAGGAGAGGGGGAAAAAAAAAGCAAGGAGUUAAAGAGAGUCUUGUGCUUGCGUAGGGUGCAUGCUGGGGGACUCAGCCGUCCUAGGGGGCCAGGAGAGGGGGAAAAAAAAAGCAAGGAGUUAAAGAGAGUCUUGCUGGGGUGUUUUACUAAGGAACCGAAAGCAUUCCAGGUAUUAAUUUCGUUCAGACGCGUCUGUGCUGGGCCAUGUGAGGCACUUAGAAAUAUUUCUCUUGCCUGCUAAAAUGCUAGAUGAAAUCUAAGCAUGUUCAACGCUGGAAUACAGUUGAGCAGAGACAGUGCCAACCUACCUUAAAGUCAAGCCUUCCCCACCAGGUGCCUCUUCUGCGCCUCUCACAUUGGAAAGAUGAAGGCUGGGGGCAGGGGGUGGUCAUAAAACACUCAGGGGCCCUUUGCCCAGUCCAAAGUCACCCAGGUUUCAUACCAUAGACAUACACUUGUAUUUGUGCCCGACAAAUGCACCGCGUUGGGGCUAGGCCUUUGCAUCGCAUAGAAUGGAUCUUGAAACUCCACACUUUCUAUCAAACAACAUGUUUCUCCUGGGCUCUAGGGCCAAUCAAAUUAGAGAGCCAUCCAAGAAGUCACACUGUGACAAUUCUAAAAUAUGUAUGGGGCUGUUUAUGUAGAUAUCUGCCAUUUCAGUUGCCCUCGGUUUUCCCUACAGCCUCUCCAAACCUCAGCGCCUGGGACCACAUCAAGCAUAGUGUGUAUCGGGAGUUGGGGGGCAGGGUCCCCAGUCUGACGAAACUGGUUAUGUCCACCUGCCCUUUCUUUCAGUUUCCUGCCGUAAAGCUUAAAUCUCCAAUAGAGUGCUGUCACUGUUGGGCAGGCCUAGUUAGGGGACCGAGUUUCAGUCCUGCUAUGCCUAACAAAACCAUUACAGAAUAAAACAAACCUCAACCACACGCUCCCCACCACUUAGUUAUUGAGAACAUCUUCGGGUUUUGCCUAGCUAUGCUUUUUUUUUUUUUAAGCUCUAAUAAAACAAUAAUCCUUUGGGCCCUCAGACCACCAGGAUGUAA